AGUGUGUUUCUAAUUCCUUCCAGCUCUCUAUACCAGACAGUAAUUUAAGGCUUAACCUCUGCAACUGAAACGUUAUGGAAGAGAGGACUCGCAAAGAAAAGAUGGAGUUCAUGGGAAGUGAGAGUUGGUCAAUUAAUUUGCCUUAGUGAGAGACACUACCACGUUUUGUGUUUUAUUUAUAAAGAAGGGAAUGUAUUCUAAGUGUCAAAUAGCCAUUAACUUUAGGAUCACAACCUUUUUGGAGGCUAAAGAUCACCAGUUUGUACCUCCAUAUAAGUGCACCCCAAGGUAAGUCCCUCCACAAAACCUCUGCCUCUGGUGGCUGACUGGCCGCGUGGUGUACUAAACAUGACUUCUGUGGGGAAGGAUCGCAGCACAGCGCAAAUCCAGGAGGGAGCCCUCACACAGGUGGUGCGAGUGGCCCGUUGCCUAGGCAGCAGAGGGCAUCUUUGGGGGCUGUCUGAGCCCACUCCUCAGAGUAACGCCAAGUUGGACAUUCGUUUCUGACAUCUCAAAUCCUGGGAACUUUUCUCAACCAGGUAUAUGCUUAUAAAGAUUUGCUACUACCCCCUGUUUCGAAGGUUUCUCUACUCACGUUUCCCCCUCUUAACUGAAAAGAUUCAAGAAUACGUCUCCAUACACAGGGGUGGAGGCUGACUAGCUGGCCAGCUUGAUUAAAUCUUCAAUCGUGUGGCUAUUAAAGUCACUGGUAACAUGGACGGGUCUGCUGCCCUAGAUGCCUUAGGUGUGUUUCCUCAUUCCACGUGCACAGUACCCCUUUGAGGUCCAUAUUGUGGUUAGGCCUUCUUUUCCAACAAGGAAACCAAGCAAGGGGCGGGAACGUUCAGGUAAAGCCCCCGUCACACAGCUGCGAGAUGAUGGUGGCGUGGCCGCGUGGGAGGCAGCACUCACACCUGUGAGUGGGAGUCAGCGCUUAAACCUGUGCCCGCCACCCCCCGCGCGUUCCAGGUGGGCCUUGGGACCAGACCCCACACACCGUCUCUAGGUCGAGGCCUGAGCAUGGUAACUCUGUGUCCGAAUCCUAGCUAACCUCCUGCUGGUGGUCUGGAUUGCUGGGGAGAACACCCACAGUGCCAGCAAGUGGGAGAGAAAGGAGCCUAUUUCCUGAGAAGAAUAAACCAGAGCGAGCGCUUCCUGCUUGGCCUCCGUCAGCUGUGAGAAGGACCCGUGUCUUCACCAAUGCUGUGAAGAAUGAAUAAGAAAACAUUUUCCUUAAGAUGUUGUUAUAAGCACAAAGAAGACAGGACUCAGAAGAUAUGAACAAGAAAUGCAGCUUCAGCACAGUCCCUCCCAGACAAAUGGAGAUGGUCUCCAGAUGGCGCACGGUGCUUCUAGAUGUGUGAAUGGGCCUCGCGGGCUGCACAACCCCCUGACUCAGCCUCCACCGUCCCCAGCCCUGAUCAAGUUACCAGCAGGCCCACGCCAGGGAGCGGCUGGCUGGGGUCCUGGCAGCACAAAACCUUUCCAGUUUCCCUAACAAUUUCCCCCUCAUCCUUGCAAUGUUUUGGCAGCUGUGGAGCCUCUUUUUCAAUUUGCUUUCAACUUGCCUAAUGCUUCAAGCCACAGGGGAGACCCAAAACCCUGCAGAACAUCCAGGAAUGCAAAGCAUUUGCAAUGAGUCACAGCUGCAGAGGUGCCAGCAAGGACCGAUCCAGACUUAGAGGGGGAAGAGGAAGGAGGGGCCUGUGGCAGCAGCUGCAGGGCCUGUGCUGCAGGCUGGACCCAGGGAAGAGGAGCAGUGGCAUUGGCUGGAAUGAGGAUAGAAAAUAUAUACAUAAGAGAAGAGCUGUAUGGGGACCACUCCUCCGAGGCACCCAUCCCCACCUGCUCCGUGUGGGGCUGUCGGCUCUUCUAGCCACAUUCUCCAAAUCCUAAAAAUUUCACAGGAAAAACCACCUUCUGGAAUAUAGAGAAUUGCAAGUUGGCGCGUGGAACAUGAUCCCUGGCCGUCCUCUAACCAACAAUCAUGAAGGGCGCAGCCCACUGGGCUUUGCAACACACUAUUUUAAGAUGCCCUUUAAAAACGCAGUGGGCGUUCUCUCCUGUGCCAACAGAGGGGCCAUUCAGUCGCUCUUUCUUGCUGCCUGGAGGUACUCCUCCCUUUAAGCCCUGGAGAGGGCAUUUGAUGUCAAAAACCUCGCUUUAACUUUUUAUUAGCUAUGAAUAAAGGAUACAUUUAUAAUUUUCAUCUAAAAUAUUAAAGACUCUGGAGAAUAAGAAGUUUCUCUCUCACUUCUGCCCACCUGGCCACCUGGCUCUCCAUCCCAGGAGCAAGGACGGAUACCCGCUUCUUGUGUAUUUUUCCGGAAUUGUUCUUUGCGUGUUCAAGCAUGUCUGAUAUAUGUACAUUUUGGUACCAAUAACAGAUGUUACACAAUGUUCCAUUCUUUGUUUUUAACAACCUUGGGAACCGUUUCAUAUCUGUACAAACAGGACUCUCUCGUUUAUUUAUUUUAACUAGAUAUUUAAACAGUACCCUGUUAAUACACAUGUUGGUUAUUUUCAGUCUUUCCUAUUACAGCUGUGCUUCAGUGAAUAUCUUUGAACAUAUAUCAUGGGCAGGUAUAUAUGUAGGUAAAAUUUCUAGAAAUGGGAUUGCUGUGUCAUGUUUUGGUAGAUAUUUUAUGAAAUUGCCCUCCUUGGAGACUAUACCGAUUUAUAUUCACAUACGUGGGAGGGCCCAUUUCCCCUAUUCCUCAGCACAGGGUUAUCCAACCUCUGUCAAUUGAGAGGUUAAAAAAUGGUAUCUUAUUGUCAUUUUACUUUGGUUUUUUCUUAUCGCAAGUGGCACUGAGCAUCUUUAUCAAUGUUUGCGAGCCCUGGCACGUUCUGUUCCGUGACCUGCCUUCUCUGCCCAUUCUCCACUGCACUGUCUGUUCUGAUCCCGUGGCAGGAUUCAGUCUCUUGUAGGUUGUCCGGCUGAGGGCUCAGCUCCUUGCCGUCUGGCUGCUGGGGCGACUGGAAGUUCCUUGCCCCUGGGCCCCUGCAUAUGCAGCUCGCUUCAUCAAAGCCAGCAAGGGAGGGCGUCCGCAGAGUCCACUAGCAAGAUGGAAGUUGCCAUCUUAUCCAUCUUAUGCAACGUACGAAAGAAGCAUUCCAUCG